rnacentral:rRNA from 1 species
UACGGAGGGUGCAAGCGUUAUCCGGAUUCACUGGGUUUAAAGGGUGCGUAGGCGGGCAGGUAAGUCCGUGGUGAAAUCUCUGAGCUUAACUCAGAAACUGCCAUGGAUACUAUUUGUCUUGAAUGUUGUGGAGGUAAGCGGAAUAUGUCAUGUAGCGGUGAAAUGCUUAGAUAUGACAUAGAACACCAAUUGCGAAGGCAGCUUACUACCCGAAUAUUGACACUGAGGCACGAAAGCGUGGGGAUCAAACAGG